rnacentral:rRNA from 1 species
UACGGAGGGUGCGAGCGUUUGUUCGGAAUCACUGGGCGUAAAGGGCGUGUAGGCGGUCCGCUAAGUCUGAUGUGAAAGCCCGGGGCUCACCCCCGGAAGUGCAUUGGAAACUGGCGGACUCGAGUCCCGGAGAGGAGGGUGGAAUUCCUGGUGUAGCGGUGAAAUGCGUAGAUAUCAGGAGGAACACCGGUGGCGAAGGCGGCCUGCUGGGACAGUGCUGACGCUGGAGGCGCGACAGCGUGGGGAGCAAACAGGG